AUCGCUUCUCGGCCCUUUUGGCUAAAAUCAAGUUUAGUAGCUGUCUUAUCAGUUUAAUUCUUAUACGGCCCCUAAACCCGGGACAAUCUUAAAUUGAUUUUUGGAACUGGGAGAUGGAAUAGUUCUUGCUCCGCCACUCCCCGCAUCGACUGUUAUUGCAGUAGCUCCAGAGCGGUUUACACCCU